rnacentral:lncRNA from 1 species
CGAAACGACAAUUACGUCUUCAUAGCGGAGCCAGCAAAGAUUAAUCCUCUUGAAACGGUUUUUAAAAGUAAACCGUCCCUGUUCGAAAUAUUUUACUCGAGAUUUCCCCGAUUCUUACCAAACUAACAAGUGUAAAGGGACUAAAGGAAAGCUGUUUGCGCUAGAAAGGAAACGCAGCGUGUCUCGGAUCGGAGGAGAUGGUAUUGGUGACGGACACACGAGGAUACGAGAGGACGGUGGUGAUGGGCAUAGUAAUCAAGAACGUGAUAAUUGGUUAAAGGCUAUUGCACAAUUCAUUGUGAACGAAUGAUGGAUGCCAAAUAUUUUGAAAGUAGUCUAAUGGAGGAUUCAAAAGACUCCAAGAGGGAAGAAAAGGCGACAAAAAAAAAUUUUCAUACGAAUCGAAGUAUGAUUCACUUUAAUGCGUUUAUUAUGCACGACAAGGAAUGUCGGCGUGUCGCGUUCAAGUGACAACGACAAUGGCUCCGCCGGUUGUAACGAUUUAGCUGGAAUACAACACCAGGCCAAACCUAGCGACAAUAGGCCGCCACGCGAAUAGAGAGGAGAAAAAGGAAAAGAUGAGGAUAAAAGGAGGGAACGUAAGCCGGUGACGAUGUUCCUCGUGCUACGUGACAGGAUGCACCGCCACGUGCCCGCUUUGCGGGUGGUUGGCGAGCACACUCAAAGGUGGAACUUCGUCAUCGAGAAGUAUCUGUUCAACUCAUCGCAAGGCACACAGGCCCGGGACAAAGACAAUAGCCGAGAUAGAUCGCGACUUCCGUCUUCUUCGGUACCCCGGAAAGCGAGGAAAAAAAACCGGGUGUCCUUCUAUCGCGCGAUCUCAUCUCCUGGAGAUGGCGACAGGCCCGCCUGUCGGCCAGCGAAGAGGGGCCCCGAAGCCGAGGAACAACUGUGCGUAGCCCGAGCAAGAAGAAGAGAGCCAAGCCAAAGGAACCAAGAAAAAGAAAACUUCGGUCGGAGAAAAGUCAACCCGAUGGAACAACGACGGAGGACGACUCACCGAGAAAGAAGAAAAAGAAGAAGAAGAAGAAAAAGAAGAAAAA